rnacentral:siRNA from 1 species
AGAUCCCUUUGCUUGGUAGUGCCA